GUUAGGAAUAUUGGACAAUGGGCGAAAGCCUGAUCCAGCCAUGCCGCGUGAACGAUGAAGGCCUUCGGGUUGUAAAGUUCUUUAGCCGAUGAUUAUAAUGACUGUAGUCGGAAAAUAAGCCCCGGCUAACUUCGUGCCAGCAGCCGCGGUAAUACGCAGGGGGCGAGCGUUAUGCGGAAUCACUGGGCGUAAAGCGUGCGUAGGCGGUUUUGUAAGUUAGGAGUGAAAGCCCAGGGCUCAACCUUGGAAUUGCUCUUAAAACUGCAAGGCUCGAAUCUCGGAGAGGAUAGCGGAAUUUCCAGUGUAGCAGUGAAAUGCGUAGAUAUUGGAAGGAACACCAGUGGCGUAAGCGGCUAUCUGGACGAGUAUUGACGCUGAGGCACGAAAGCGUGGGGAUCAAACAGGAUUAGAUACCCCAGUAGUCC
rnacentral:rRNA from 1 species